rnacentral:rRNA from 1 species
GCAAGUCGAACGAAGUAGCAAUACUUAGUGGCAGACGGGUGAGUAACAUGUAGGUAUCUGCCCUUUGGCCUGGAAUAACACGAGGAAACUUGUGCUAAUACCGGAUAAGUCUUUACGGAGAAAGCUUUAUGCACCAUUGGAUGAGCCUGCACUUGAUUAGUUUGUUGGUGGGGUAAUGGCCUACCAAGACUGUGAUCAAUAGCUGAUUUGAGAGGAUGAUCAGCCACAUUGGGACUGAGACACGGCCCAAACUCCUACGGGAGGCAGCAGUGGGGAAUCUUGCACAAUGGAGGAAACUCUGAUGCAGCGAUGCCGCGUGAGUGAAGAAGGCCCUUGGGUUGUAAAGCUCUUUCGUCGGGGAAGAAAAUGACUGUACCCGAAUAAGAAGGUCCGGCUAACUUCGUGCCAGCAGCCGCGGUAAUACGAAGGGACCUAGCGUAGUUCGGAAUUACUGGGCUUAAAGAGUUCGUAGGUGGUUGAAAAAGUUAGUGGUGAAAUCCCAGAGCUUAACUCUGGAACUGCCAUUAAAACUUUUCAGCUAGAGUAUGAUAGAGGAAAGCAGAAUUUCUAGUGUAGAGGUGAAAUUCGUAGAUAUUAGAAAGAAUACCAAUUGCGAAGGCAGCUUUCUGGAUCAUUACUGACACUGAGGAACGAAAGCAUGGGUAGCGAAGAGGAUUAGAUACCCUCGUAGUCCAUGCCGUAAACGAUGUGUGUUAGACGUUGGAAAUUUAUUUUCAGUGUCGCAGGGAAACCGAUAAACACACCGCCUGGGGAGUACGACCGCAAGGUUAAAACUCAAAUGAAUUGACGGGGACCCGCACAAGUAGUGGAGCAUGU